rnacentral:rRNA from 1 species
CCUACGGGGGGCAGCCGUGGGGGAUCUUGCACAGUUUGUGGAGCCCUGAUGCAGCGACGCCGCGUGGGUGAAGGAGCGUUUCGGCGCGUAAAGCCCUAUCGGCAGGGAAGAAGAUGACGGUAUCUGACCAAGAAGCCCCGGCUAACUACGUGCCAGCAGCCGCGGUAAUACGUAGGGGGCAAGCGUUAUCCGGAUUUACUGGGUGUAAAGGGGGCGCAGACGUCCAUGCAAGCCAGGAGUGAAAGACCGGGGCCCAACCCCGG